rnacentral:rRNA from 1 species
UACGAAGGGUGCAAGCGUUACUCGGAAUUACUGGGCGUAAAGCGUGCGUAGGUGGUGAGUUAAGUCUUGUCGUGAAAGCCCCGGGCUCAACCUGGGAAUGGCGAUGGAUAGCUGGCUCGCUAGAGUGCGGUAGAGGAGAGUGGAAAUUCCCGGUGUAGCAGUGAAAUGCGUAGAGAUCGGGAGGAACAUCAGUUGCGAAGGCGGAUCUCUGGGCAGUUCCUGACACUGAGGCACGAAGGCCAGGGGAGACAAACGGG